AGGGUUACGCCCAAACCGCCUCGAGGAAACCUUCCGUGGAAUCGGGUUAUAUCCAAAUAAAAGUGAAAAUAUUGAUCGCAGAGAUCGAUUGGCACAUUGUGAAAAAGCCUCGACCGAGGCGACAGACGCCUGGCAUUGAGCCUCUCUCAGUCUCUUUGUGGCAGCAGGGACGGUUUCCCUCGGUGUUGAGUUCACAGUCACCAUUCUGCAGUUUUUUUCUGCCACUCCCUUCAACACACAGCCUGCUCUCAGCUGCAGGAGGGAGAAGCUCACUCAUCAAUAACCAGAGCUGGUCAGCGCGCAUGUGUGUGUGUGUGUGUGUGUGUGUGUGUGUGCUUCCUCCAGUAUCUGUAAACAUGUCUGUAAUGGUGUGUUUGUGUGUCUCUUUAGCAGUUCUUCUCACUGCAGAGGGGUUCACUGCGCCUUCCUUCUAAUCUGUUGGUGAAACAAGAUGGCGUCGCAGCUCCACGUGGGUCCUCCCACGCCGGCUAAUGCCCACUACCUAUGGCACACACUAAAGCAGCGGAGCCUGUUAGACCAGGUCAGGACACGUCGGGGAUCGGUCCACGAACAUGAGACGGAUAUGACAACCACACUGAAGCCAGCUUCAGCUGCCCAUACACACUCCUGCGCACAUUUUUGUGGUGUGUAGGAUCGCUUGACCAGGAAAUGCGGAUGUACAUACACACUGACAUACUAGAAAUGUAACAGAAACCGGUGUUGUUUUUAAAAAUAUAUAUUUUAUAUGCCUUUGUAAGACAAAAAAUUGUAAUAAAAUAUUCAUCAGA